AUGGAACACACCAAAACACUGCAUAGAGCUUUGGCAAUCUCCCCGGCCAAGAUGGAGGCAAUGCAGUCACAGAGCUAAUGUUGGCUGAUCAAGAAAACCAUAAAGCUGAUUCAGCAGAGGUCUACAUUGCCUUUGCUAUGAUUGUGUCUGGACCACAUCUUGAUGGGAGGCCUCCUGGCUCAGAUACUGGGGCACUACCACUGCACCUCGAGAAUCUGCAAGCAAUAAUCUGUCCCAGAAAACAGAACAGGAAUGUCCUUCCAGUUUGAAGUGCCCCUCCUCGCCAUUUCAUGUUGAUUAAUGUGAGGAGAAAUCGUCUCUAAACAACGAUAGCUGGUAG